rnacentral:rRNA from 1 species
GGGGAAACCCACCUGAGACCUUAUUGUUGUUGCUUCGCAACGACGCUCCGCGCCGGCUCAAUGCCGGAGGCGGCUGCGCCGCACUGCGAGACAGUCAACAGUAGGGUUAAACAGGUACUUUACUCCUGAAUACAUAGGGGGUUUAGAGCGAACCCGGGGAACUGAAACUUCUAAG